GACAGAGGCCCCAAGCGUUAGGCGGAAUCACUGGGCUUAAAGCGUGUGUAGGCGGACGCCUAAGUGUCUUGUGAAAUCCCACGGCUCACCCGUGGAACUGCUGGGCAUACUGGGCGUCUUGGGCCAACUAGGGGCAGCCGGAACAAGCGGUGGAGCGGUGAAAUGCGUAGAUAUCGCUUGGAACGCCGAAGGUGAAAACAGGCCGCUGGGGUUGUGCCGACGCUGAGACACGAAAGCCAGGGGAGCAAACGGG
rnacentral:rRNA from 1 species